UACGUAGGGCGCAAGCGUUGUCCGGAAUUAUUGGGCGUAAAGAGCUCGUAGGCGGCUUGUCGCGUCGACUGUGAAAUCCCGCGGCUCAACCGCGGGUCUGCAGUCGAUACGGGCAGGCUAGAGUGCGGUAGGGGAGAUUGGAAUUCCUGGUGUAGCGGUGGAAUGCGCAGAUAUCAGGAGGAACACCGAUGGCGAAGGCAGAUCUCUGGGCCGUAACUGACGCUGAGGAGCGAAAGCGUGGGGAGCGAACAGG
rnacentral:rRNA from 1 species